ACUAGAUCACUGGGGAAGAGCAUCUACAAACAUCAGGUCUUGUGAAGUGUUCCUGGUAUGCAGCGCUUAGUUUCUUGCAAAAGUGGUCCAAGGAAGGACGACCGGCGAACCGGCAACAGGGUCAUGGGUGCCCAAGGCGAUCUGUUCUGAUCUGAUCUGAUUUUCAUUCAGUUUUAGAAUUGAUCAAGAUCACAAAGUCACAGAACGUUUAAAAGUCUGAAAUACUUUUUUUUUUUCAGUGGCUUCCUUCCUGUUUGAUGUGUAUGUUAAGGGUAUAGUGGUGGAGGCAUCUACGUCAGUGCCACUGGUGAUGAGUUCUAGUGUUUCAUUAAUAAAGUGAGUUAAUGGAUCUUGUGUAGAUGUGACUAUACAUUAUUUGGCCUAAAGUCUGUGGACACCACCAUAACCAUAUCUGCCCAUUCCAAAACUAGAAGCAUUAACAUGGAGGUGUUUCACUCUUUGCUGCUGUAACAGCCUGCUCUCUUCUGUGAAGGCUUUCAACUAGAAUUUGGAGCAUGGCUGUGGGGAUUUAUGGUCAUUCAGCCACAAGAACAUUAGUGAGGUCAGGCACUGAUGUCUGGUCAGGGUGGCCUGGGAUCUGGGGUUCAGUGGAGGUUGAGGACAGCACUCGGGCCAUUUGAUUUGCUCCACACCUUUCUUGGCAAUCAAUGUUUUUUUUUUGAAGAUCGCUUUUCACAGGAAUAUAUUUCAUGUAGAUCCCUUUAGUUCCAGUGAAGGGAAAUACCAAUGCUUACAGCAUUUAUACAUUCUUGACAGUUGUGUGCUUGUGUCACCAGUUUGGGGAAGGUCCACAUACUAUAUUGGCUGCAGGGGUGGACUUAACCAAUAAGUGAGAUGCGGGCCCCCCCCAUGAUUCAUGAAUAGUGGAAUGUUCCUAUCGUACUGCACAUGCGCAAGAUUCCCAUACCUGGAAUCGCUUAGGGCCCCCAAAUCACUAAGUCCACCCCUGAUUGGCUGGAUAGUCAGAUCCUUUCCAGAAAUUGCCAGUUCAUCCAGUUCAGCAGAAAUAUAAGCACCACUACUGAACAACUGAGGGCACCGAGGCCACCAAGUUCCUC